rnacentral:rRNA from 1 species
UACGAAGGGGGCUAUCGUUGUUCGGAAUUACUGGGCGUAAAGCGCACGCAGGCGGUUCGAUCAGUCAGAAGUGAAAGCCCCGGGCUUAACCUGGGAACUGCUUUUGAUACUGUCGAGCUUGAAUCACGGAGAGGGUAGUGGAAUUCCGAGUGUAGAGGUGAAAUUCGUAGAUAUUCGGAAGAACACCAGUGGCGAAGGCGACUACCUGGCCGUCGAUUGACGCUCAUGUGCGAAAGCGUGGGGAGCAAACAGGAUUAGAUACCCCGGUAGU